rnacentral:rRNA from 1 species
UGGGGAAUAUUGCACAAUGGGCGCAAGCCUGAUGCAGCCAUGCCGCGUGUAUGAAGAAGGCCUUCGGGUUGUAAAGUACUUUCAGCGGGGAGGAAGGUGUCGUGGUUAAUAACCACAGCAAUUGACGCUACCCGCAGAAGAAGCACCGGCUAACUCCGUG